AUCUCAUCCCUAAUCAGAAAGGUGAUCAGCACCACAAAAGCCCCGGUGGUCAUUGGUGCCUACAGCCAAGCUGUGCUAGUGGACAGACCAUUUGCAUGUCUAGACAGGUAGGCAUGGAUCCUUCCAGUGGACAGCUUGUUCCAAGAGGGGUAAUAAAAGAAGCUAAGCGGGCCUUUAAAAACGUGGGUGAGAUUCUUAAAGCUGCAGGUUGUGAUUUCACUAAUGUGGUGAAAACAACUGUUUUACUGGCUGACAUAAACAUAUGUCCAGGGUAGCCUUCCUGCCAGGGCUGCUUACCAAGUCACUGCUUUACCCAAAGGAAGUCUAACUGAAAUCGAAGCAAUCGAUGUCCAGGGACCUUUCGUCACUG
rnacentral:lncRNA from 1 species